CCCUAGUAACGGCGAGUAGAGUGGGAAGAGCUCAACUUUGUAACUGGCUGUUUCACAGUCCGAGUUGUAGUCUAAAGAAGCAUGAUCCGCGCCGGCCCUUCGAGUGUCUGUUGGAACGCAGUGCAAAGAGGGUGAUAAUCCCGUACAUACCAAGGACGACCGUGUGCAUUGUGGUCUGCUCUCUAAGAGUCGAGUUGUUUGGGAAUGCAGCUCUAAUUGGGUGGUAAAUUCCAUCUAAAGCUAAAUAUCGACGAGAGACCGAUAGCGAACAAGUACAGUAAUGGAAAGAUGAAAAGUAGCCUGCAGAGGCAAUGAAACAAUACGUGAAACCGUUUGUAGGAAGCGAUGGAACCUUUUCACGCUGCAGGGCUCAGCCUUUCUUCGGAUUGGUGUAUUCCCCUGUUUUGCGGACCAGCAUCAGUUGCUUGGCAGUAUAAGGGUGUUUGGAACGUGCGCUCCACGGGGUGUUAUAGCCUUUCACUGGAUGCUGCCUCGCAGACUGAGGACUGCGUGCCGCUUCAUGGAUAGUCUUCGGGCUC
rnacentral:rRNA from 1 species